rnacentral:rRNA from 1 species
GACGAACGCUGGCGGCGUGCUUAACACAUGCAAGUCGAACGGAAAGGCCCUGCUUUUGUGGGGUGCUCGAGUGGCGAACGGGUGAGUAACACGUGAGUAACCUGCCCUUGACUUUGGGAUAACUUCAGGAAACUGGGGCUAAUACCGGAUAGGAGCUCCUGCUGCAUGGUGGGGGUUGGAAAGUUUCGGCGGUUGGGGAUGGACUCGCGGCUUAUCAGCUUGUUGGUGGGGUAGUGGCUUACCAAGGCUUUGACGGGUAGCCGGCCUGAGAGGGUGACCGGCCACAUUGGGACUGAGAUACGGCCCAGUCUCCUACGGGAGGCAGCAGUGGGGAAUAUUGCACAAUGGGCGGAAGCCUGAUGCAGCAACGCCGCGUGCGGGAUGACGGCCUUCGGGUUGUAAACCGCUUUCGCCUGUGACGAAGCGUGAGCGACGGUAAUGGGUAAAGAAGCACCGGCUAACUACGU